rnacentral:misc_RNA from 1 species
GCAUUCCUCCUUGACAUAGCCCACCCGCUGGUACAAGACCGUGCAGGCUGGGCAGUCAUUCUUAGAGAAGCGAGAACGCUAAACAAGGGCAGAACAAGAUUCCAUGAGACGCCAUGCCCACCUCAAGUUCCUCUUUGUCGUAUCCCACCCGCUGGUACGAGCCCGUGCAUGAUAGGAAGACAUUCAAAGAGAAGCAAGAACGCGAAACUAGCAUCACAUGAGACCUUAUAUACCCACGUCGAGUUCCAUAUCCAUGAUACCACGCAAUACUCAAUGGUCCACAUCACCAACGCAAAAGCAUUGGCAAUGUGGUUCAAAGAGACUGCUUCAAGGUUCAUCUCACGCCAUGUAAAUAGCACAAGACGAAAGCGACUUCGAUCAACCAACACAAUACCGUCAUUUAGGUAGGCAACACAGGAAACCGACAAUCCGCCUAGGCAAUACAUGCCUAAACAAGCAACUGAAGAGGUAUGCAGGGUGA